rnacentral:rRNA from 1 species
UACGGGGGGGGCAAGCGUUGUUCGGAAUUACUGGGCGUAAAGGGCUCGUAGGUGGCCAACUAAGUCAGACGUGAAAUCCCCAGGCUCAACUUGGGAACUGCGUCUGAUACUGGAUGGCUUGAGUUUGGGAGAGGGAUGCGGAAUUCCAGGUGUAGCGGUGAAAUGCGUAGAUAUCUGGAGGAACACCGGUGGCGAAGGCGGCAUCCUGGACCAACACUGACGCUGAGUGAGCGAAAGCCAGGGGAGCAAACGGG